AUGUUGUGUGUUAUUGUUAUUAUAGGUCCAGUACAAUGAGUUAACAUGUCUACCUAAUAAUGUGAUCAAACUGGAUAAACUAUCUAAAAUAUUUGCAAGUUAUAAUAAACUACAGUGUUUACCUGUAGACAUUGGACAAUUGACUAACUUACAGUCUCUCAAUAUAUCACACAAUUCACUAACUGUUCUACCACAGUCAAUCAAAUUAUGGUACAGUUAGUCUUCAGCCACUUACCAGCACACGCAAUCCUGUCUAUUCAGCACCUGAAGCAGGCAAUCCAAGGGAACACUCUCCUGCAAUGGAUGUCUUCAGUUAUGGUGUCCUCCUUAUAGAGAUGGUCGUUUGUCAGUUUCCAGACGUAGGAAAGAGAGUGGCUCAUUUAUUUUGGCUGCUCUAAUGUGUUUUGUAUUUUAAAAAUUUUUUGCUAUUUUUAAACAAAUUUUUUUUUCAAAAUUUCACAAUAUUAUUUUUCCAUAACGUGCAUACCUUGAGCUAAAAAUAGAAGUCAUCAUUAUUAAACCAAGACAACAAAGACAGGCAACAACUAUCAUUAUUAUUAUUAUUGUUGUUAUUAUUAUUUAAUUAUUUUUCUUUCUUAAUUAGUCUCAGUGUAAUG